rnacentral:piRNA from 1 species
UGACCUUUCCGCCUUGACCCAAAAGC